rnacentral:lncRNA from 1 species
AAGAUAACUAGUGUGCAGAGGGUGGGAAAAAGAGGAAGGUGGAAACAGAUAGGGGAAUAUUAUGGGAUUCCUUUCUAGAGAAGGGGAAAUGGGUUAAAGGUCAUGAGGCUUUGGGGCAGCAUGGAGACAGUGUGGGAAGCUCUGAAUUCACCCCCGUAACCUGGCUCUAAUCCAGAGCUCUUCCAUCAGCUGCGUCAUCUUGAGCAAAACACUUUUUACUUCUUUGAGUCUUGGUUUUUUAUUGUACAUCUGUAGAUAAAAGCUCUGGACUCAAUGUCCUCUAAGGGCCUCUUUGGUCUCCAAGUCUGUGUGCCAGAGUUUUUCAUGGGAGGGAUUCUCUCCUCUUUUUCUGCCCCAGGGUCCCCAUUUCUCCUUCUCCCAGGAAGACUUCCUGACUUCCAUCCUGCCGUCCCUCACAGAAACUGACACUGUGCUCUUCAUUUUCACCCUGGAUGGUGAGAGGGAAGAUGGGAAUGGUGGGGUGAGUGGCUGGAGGCAGCAGAAUGACUCAGAGGAACUAUCACUUUUCCAGGUCUUAGGGUGUCUGCCCAGAGGUGGGGGCAGCAGUAUGUAUACUGGGCCCCAGGGCAGGAGGAAGAGCUGCCAGAGAGCUGCCCUUCCACUCUGAUGGCCUCUCCCUCUCCUUAGACAGCCUCACGGAGGUGCAGACACUGGUGGAGCAGGUGUAGGAGAAGACCUCCAACACCCAACAUCCAGGCCUUGGCACACAGCACCAUGGGGCAGUCCCUGCCAGUGAAGGGCCAGACUUGAGGAGGGGACCCCAGGGAACGGUGACAGCCAGGUCUUCCUGGAGAUGCUGCUCCUGCUCCUCUCUCUCUCUCUCCAGAUCCCUCUGAAGAAGCCCUUCCCCUCCAUCAUCAGCAUCACAUGGCCACUGCUUUUCUUCAAAUAUGAAGGGAACUUCAUCCAGAAAUACAGAAAUCAAAGAGGAAAGAAACCAUCCAUAAUUCAUCUUCUUCCAGGAAAACCCCUCAGACAAAUUUUAGAGAAUAUCUCUCUAUUUUUUAGUGCAUAUGUAAAAUAUUUAUAUAAAAAUAGUAUACUCGGCAUGCUGUUUUUAACUUGCUUCUCUUUAUUUAAAAUUAUAAACACCUUUCUGUACUAAUGUCAUUUACCUCAUAAUUUUAUUUACUUACUUAUGACUGUGCUGGGUCUUGGUUCCUUUGCAUGAGUUUUCUCUAGUUGCGAGUGGGGCCACUCUUCGUUGUGGUGCACGAGCUUCUCACUGUGGUGGCCUCUCCUAAGUUUUCCAAAUUUGCUGACAUAUUGAGUGCAGCACUUUCACAGCAUCAUCUUUCAGGAUUUGAAAUAGCUCAACUGGAAUUCCAUCACCUCCACUAGCUUUGUUCCUAGUGAUGCUUCCUAAGGCCCACUUGACUUCACAUUCCAGGAUGUCUGGCUCUAGGUGAGUGAUCACACCAUCAUGAUUAUCUUGGUCAUGAAGAUCUUUUUUGUAUAGUUCUUCUGUGUAUUCCUGCCAUCUUGUGUUCUUGUGUUACCAGGUCACUAAGCAGAGUUCUCAAGUCAAUGGGCUGCUCCAUUCAGUUCUCUUGAGAAAAAUGCAAAAUAUAGGAUGGGCCACCAAUUAGCUGACAGAUAUUCUUCUGUCCUUUUUCACAGGUUAAUUAUCAAUACUAGAGUCAUCUACACUAUGCAGAAGCCUUUGAGGCAUAUUUUUUUUGCAAGUUUUCCUAUGAGUUCACUGCAGAUAACAGUACACUGAUACAGUCCCUGCUCACUAAGGAAAUUAUGAUCAGUACAAGCGCUGGUAGUAACUGUAGCAAUAAUAAUCACUUUGGGU